CGCUGGCGGCGUGCCUAACACAUGCAAGUCGAACGAGGUCCAUCCUUCGGGAGAAGACCUAGUGGCGAACGGGUGAGUAACACGUGAAGAACCUGCCCCGAAGACCGGGAUAACCCUCCGAAAGGAGAGCUAAUACCGGAUACCCCCACCGAACCGCAUGGUUUGGUGAGGAAAUGGAUUCCGCUUCGGGAGGGCUUCGCGGCCUAUCAGCUAGUUGGUGGGGUAACGGCCCACCAAGGGCAUCGACGGGUAGCUGGUCUGAGAGGACGAUCAGCCACACUGGGACUGAGACACGGCCCAGACUCCUACGGGAGGCAGCAGUGGGGAAUCUUGCGCAAUGGGCGAAAGCCUGACGCAGCAACGCCGCGUGGGGAUGAAGGCUCUCGGGUUGUAAACCCCUUUCAGCAGGGACGAAUCAAGACGGUACCUGCAGAAGAAGCCCCGGCUAACUACGUG
rnacentral:rRNA from 1 species